rnacentral:rRNA from 1 species
ACUCCUACGGGAGGCAGCAGUAGGGAAUUUUCCGCAAUGGACGAAAGUCUGACGGAGCAAUGCCGCGUGAGUGAUGAAGGUUUUCGAAUCGUAAAGCUCUGUUGUAAGGGAAGAAUAGCAAGAAUAGGAAAUGAUUCUUGUCUGACGGUACCUUACCAGAAAGCCACGGCUAACUACGUGCCAGCAGCCGCGGUAAUACGUAGGUGGCAAGCGUUAUCCGGAAUUAUUGGGCGUAAAGCGCAUGUAGGCGGCUUUUUAAGUCUGAUGUGAAAGCCAGUGGCUCAACCACUGAAUUGCAUUGGAUACUGGAAA